UACGAAGGGGGCUAGCGUUGCUCGGAAUUACUGGGCGUAAAGGGCGCGUAGGCGGCGCUGCUAGUCAGGCGUGAAAUUCCUGGGCUUAACCUGGGGACUGCGCUUGAUACGGCAGUGCUAGAGGACGGAAGAGGGUCGUGGAAUUCCCAGUGUAGAGGUGAAAUUCGUAGAUAUUGGGAAGAACACCGGUGGCGAAGGCGGCGACCUGGUCCGUUACUGACGCGAGGCGCGACAGCGUGGGGAG
rnacentral:rRNA from 1 species